AUGGUCCCCACUUCAUGGCUAUCCACCUCCUCCACCACCACAAUGAGCAGAAUUACUGGAGCUUAGUGCGGAUUCGGAGUCCAGAAGGAGUCAAGAAAUGCAUGGAAAGAGGCUACACGGUCCCCCAGUGUUCAACAACACUGGCGUGUUGAUUACAGAAGAAAAGCCCAGAGAGCAGAGCAAAAUAGAGUUAAACACGGCUUGGUCGUGUUGAUAUACACAGUCGUGUCGGUAUCAGUAUUCAGUUAUUACGAGAUUUGAAGUAAGAUUUGAAGUUAUCUGUUAACGCGAUCUUUCCCAGAACUUAAAUGAGGACGACCAGAGGCUGGAGAUUUUAAUUUUUCUUUCUUCUUCUUCUCCCCAUCUCUCUAAAAACUCUUAGAUUAGGAUUUCUUUAAUUUGGCAAAGUGUUGGUUGUGAAGAAUCGUGUGCAACAUCUUGAUUUCGAUGCUAGGUUUAUUUUUCUAAUUUAUAUUAUUUUCUAGUUUAUAA